GGGAACUUGGAGGAGCCGUACUGCCAAGAAAGAGCCGCUCAGGGAGGUUAUUUGUUGCCCGUACCGGAAACCGACACAGGUGGACGAGGGUAGUACCCAAAGGCGCACAAGAGAACCCCUGUUAAGGAACUCGGCAAAAUGCACGUGUAACUUCGGGAUAAGCGUGGCCUCAAGUAGGUGAUGGGGAGAAACCGAAGCUGAAAGAGGUUGCAAAAAAGAGGCUCUGGCGGCUGUUUACCAAAAACACAGAUCUCUGCUAAGACUUAAGUCUAAGUAUAGGGAUUGAGACCUGCCCGGUGCCAGAAGGUUAAAGAAGGGGGUCAACGGGGUAACCCGUGAAGCUCUUGACUGAAGCCCUGGUAAACGGCGGCUGUAACAAUAACAGUCCUAAGGUAGCGAAAUUCCUUGUCGGGUAAGUUCCGACCUGCAUGAAUGGUAUAACGACUGGAGCGCUGUCUCAACAGGGGACUUGGUGAAAUUGAAGUAUCGGUGCAAAUACCGAUUACCCGCAGCUAGACGGUAAGACCCUGUGAACCUUUACUGUACCCUGGCAUUGUAUUCUGGCACGUUCUGUGUAGGAUAGGUGGGAGGCUAUGAAGCGUGGGCGCCAGCUUGCGUGGAGCCAACCUUGAAAUACCACCCUUAACGUGUCGGACUACUAACGGAUGCUGUGGAAGCAUCUAGACAGUGUCAGGCGGGCAGUUUGACUGGGGCGGUCACCUCCCAAAGUGUAACGGAGGUGUACGAAGGUUCCCUCGAGCUGUAUAGAAAUCAGCUGAAAGAGCGUAAAGGUAUAAGGGAGCUUGACUGCGAGAGAGACAUCUCGAGCAGGGACGAAAGUCGGUCUUAGUGAUCCGGUGGUUUUUGUAUGGAAAAGCCAUCGCUUAACGGACAAAAGGUACUCCGGGGAUAACAGGCUGAUACCGCCCAAGAGUUCACAUCGACGGCGGUGUUUGGCACCUCGAUGUCGGCUCAACUCAUCCUGGGGCUGAAGUAGGUCCCAAGGGUUCGGCUGUUCGCCGAUUAAAGAGUUACGUGAGCUGGGUUCAGAACGUCGUGAGACAGUUCGGUCCCUAUCUACUGUGGGCGCUGGAUAUUUGAGGGGAGCUGUUCCUAGUACGAGAGGAUCGGAAUGGACGUACCUCUGGUGCACCAGUUGUCGUGCCAACGGCACAGCUGGGUAGCUAUGUACGGAAGGGAUAACCACUGAAAGCAUCUAAGUGGGAAGCCUCCCCCAAGAUUAGAUAUCCCUUAAGGUUCCAGGUAGACUACCUGGUUGAUAGGUCGCAGGUGUAAGUACAGUAAUGUAUUCAGCCGAGCGAUACUAAUAAACCGUUUGACUUGCCCCU
rnacentral:rRNA from 1 species